AGUGAACGCUGGCGGUAGGCCUAACACAUGCAAGUCGAACGGCAGCACAGUAAGAGCUUGCUCUUACGGGUGGCGAGUGGCGGACGGGUGAGGAAUACAUCGGAAUCUACUUUUUCGUGGGGGAUCACGUAGGGAAACUUACGCUAAUACCGUAUCCUCCCUACGGGUGAAAGCAGGGGAUCUUCGGACCUUGCGCGAUUGAAUGAGCCGAUGUCGGAUUAGCUAGUUGGCGGGGUAAAGGCCCACCAAGGCGACGAUCCGUAGCUGGUCUGAGAGGAUGAUCAGCCACACUGGAACUGAGACACGGUCCAGACUCCUACGGGAGGCAGCAGUGGGGAAUAUUGGACAAUGGGCGCAAGCCUGAUCCAGCCAUACCGCGUGGGUGAAGAAGGCCUUCGGGUUGUAAAGCACUUUUGUUGGGAAAGAAAAGCAGCAGGUUAAUACCCCGCUGUUCUGACGGUACCCAAAGAAGAAGCACCGGCUAACUUCGUG
rnacentral:rRNA from 1 species